rnacentral:rRNA from 1 species
UACGAAGGGGGCUAGCGUUGUUCGGAUUUACUGGGCGUAAAGCGCACGUAGGCGGACUAUUAAGUCAGGGGUGAAAUCCCGGGGCUCAACCCCGGAACUGCCUUUGAUACUGGUAGUCUUGAGUUCGAGAGAGGUGAGUGGAAUUCCGAGUGUAGAGGUGAAAUUCGUAGAUAUUCGGAGGAACACCCGUGGCGAAGGCGGCUCUCUGGGACGGUACUGACGCUGAGACGCGAAAGCGUGGGGAGCGAACAGG